CGAACGAAGGCUUCGGCCUUAGUGGCGGACGGGUGAGUAACGCGUGGGAAUCUACCUUACGGCGGGGAAUAACAGUUGGAAACGACUGCUAAUACCGCAUACGCCCUUCGGGGGAAAGGCUUCGGCCACCGUUUGAGGAUCCCGCGUCCGAUUAGCUAGUUGGUAGGGUAACGGCCUACCAAGGCUACGAUGGUUAGCCGGCCUGAGAGGGUGAUCGGCCACACUGGAACUGAGACACGGUCCAGACUCC
rnacentral:rRNA from 1 species